ensembl:lncRNA
GGUACACAGUGACGGCCCAUGUUUGUAUAUGCCUGACUGUCUAGGUACACAGUGACGGCCCAUGUUUGUAUAUGCCUGACUGUCUAGGUACACAGUGACGGCCCAUGUUUGUAUAUGCCUGACUGUCUAGGUUCAAAGACUUUUAUGUUUAGAGUAUUCAUUGUGAGUUGAGCUGAUCCUAAAGUAGCAAUAGACGACCAUUAGUGGAGUUUUACUAUUCUAAAACCCUUUUUAAACUUCAAAUUUUAACUAUGUAUAUACUGUACUUUUAAAAUGUGUAGAGAUGUUUUUUUUAAAAAUAUUUAUUGAGCCAGUAGUUCUGAAAGUAGCGCUCAUGAGACAAAACUGGUCCUCGAAAAUUGCGUACUACGACACGUGCAGGUAUGUGCAUCACAUCUUAGCUUUCUCUUUUGCUCUGCUUUGUGUGUAUCUUGCUAGCUGUCACUCAAACGGCGAGGGGCUGAAGCUCAUUGGCUUGAACUUGAAUUGCUAGGGGGCUGACCCAUGUGGGAGAAAAUUUAGGGAAAAUGGCACCUCUCACCUUCCAGCUUUCAAACUAGAGAUUCCGUGGCUAAUUUGAGGUUAGACAGUAAUUAUUCUCAUAGAUUCUGCAUGUAUGAUUUACAUGUUGACACAUGCAGCCCAAAGUGGGAGGUUUAAUAAAUACUUACUAGUCACCAAUGUUCUUGAGCAUGUCUUUGAAUUGAAUAAUAAUCUGCGUUAACUCAUUAUAUAUCACCAGUAGCCCAGCCAUGUGCUAGAAAUAUUUGUAAACAACUUAAACAAGUGUAAUAUAUUGCAGAUUAUGGAUUUAAAAAAGAUUGUUGUUUAGUCAAUGUGGAGUCUUUACUGAAAAGGAUAAGAGUAAAUGGCAACAAUAAUGAUUAUUUUUCCUAAAAAGUCUUAAAUCCAACUUUUUACAUUUUGUGAGUACAGUGAAGUGUGAUUUGAGUGAGCUGCCAGUGAUUUGGAAAGCUGUACCAUACAAGUUAUUCUACUUAAAGACCCCUGCUACCUGUUUUUAUUUGACUGCAUGUUUUUUAAACACUUAUGUACGUCUCUCUUAUUUUAUUAUACAAAAAAAAAGUUUUUUAUAUGGGGAACUGAUUUGUCGACGACUUCUUGUCUUACUCAGUGUUCAGGCUGUUGAAGGAUGAUUGGUUACACUGUCUUUGUAGAUACUCAACCAGAUAGCAUUGACCCUCGUUUCCAAGCAUGUUUAUUUGUUCUGUACAGUUUGCACUGCCAUGCCAGUUCUCCGCAAAACUUUAGGAACAAUAUUGAAGUAAAAACCAGAUGUAAUUAUGAACUGAAUAAAUCUCUCUUGUAUAUUUAA